rnacentral:rRNA from 1 species
UCCGUUAAUUGAUUAUGACGUACUUGUACUGAUUGAGAUUUUAACACGAAGUGAGUGGCGAACGGGUGAGUAACACGUGGGUAACCUGCCCAGAAGUAGGGGAUAACACCUGGAAACAGAUGCUAAUACCGUAUAACAGAGAAAACCGCAUGGUUUUCUUUUAAAAGAUGGCUCUGCUAUCACUUCUGGAUGGACCCGCGGCGUAUUAGCUAGUUGGUGAGGUAAAGGCUCACCAAGGCAGUGAUACGUAGCCGACCUGAGAGGGUAAUCGGCCACAUUGGGACUGAGACACGGCCCAGACUCCUACGGGAGGCAGCAGUAGGGAAUCUUCCACAAUGGACGCAAGUCUGAUGGAGCAACGCCGCGUGAGUGAAGAAGGGUUUCGGCUCGUAAAGCUCUGUUGUUAAAGAAGAACGUGGGUAAGAGUAACUGUUUACCCAGUGACGGUAUUUAACCAGAAAGCCACGGCUAACUACGUGCCAGCAGCCGCGGUAAUACGUAGGUGGCAAGCGUUAUCCGGAUUUAUUGGGCGUAAAGCGAGCGCAGGCGGUCUUUUAAGUCUAAUGUGAAAGCCUUCGGCUCAACCGAAGAAGUGCAUUGGAAACUGGGAGACUUGAGUGCAGAAGAGGACAGUGGAACUCCAUGUGUAGCGGUGAAAUGCGUAGAUAUAUGGAAGAACACCAGUGGCGAAGGCGGCUGUCUGGUCUGCAACUGACGCUGAGGCUCGAAAGCAUGGGUAGCGAACAGGAUUAGAUACCCUGGUAGUCCAUGCCGUAAACGAUGAUUACUAAGUGUUGGAGGGUUUCCGCCCUUCAGUGCUGCAGCUAACGCAUUAAGUAAUCCGCCUGGGGAGUACGACCGCAAGGUUGAAACUCAAAAGAAUUGACGGGGGCCCGCACAAGCGGUGGAGCAUGUGGUUUAAUUCGAAGCUACGCGAAGAACCUUACCAGGUCUUGACAUCUUCUGACAGUCUAAGAGAUUAGAGGUUCCCUUCGGGGACAGAAUGACAGGUGGUGCAUGGUUGUCGUCAGCUCGUGUCGUGAGAUGUUGGGUUAAGUCCCGCAACGAGCGCAACCCUUAUUACUAGUUGCCAGCAUUAAGUUGGGCACUCUAGUGAGACUGCCGGUGACAAACCGGAGGAAGGUGGGGACGACGUCAAAUCAUCAUGCCCCUUAUGACCUGGGCUACACACGUGCUACAAUGGAUGGUACAACGAGUCGCGAGACCGCGAGGUUAAGCUAAUCUCUUAAAACCAUUCUCAGUUCGGACUGUAGGCUGCAACUCGCCUACACGAAGUCGGAAUCGCUAGUAAUCGCGGAUCAGCAUGCCGCGGUGAAUACGUUCCCGGGCCUUGUACACACCGCCCGUCACACCAUGAGAGUUUGUAACACCCAAAGCCGGUGGGGUAACCUUUUAGGAGCUA